GUAGGUGGCAAGCGUUGUCCGGAAUUAUUGGGCGUAAAGCGCGCGCAGGCGGUUCGUUUAAGUCUGAUGUGAAAGCCCACGGCUCAACCGUGGAGGGUCAUUGGAAACUGGAGAACUUGAGUACAGAAGAGGAAAGCGGAAUUCCACGUGUAGCGGUGAAAUGCGUAGAGAUGUGGAGGAACACCAGUGGCGAAGGCGGCUUUCUGGUCUGUAACUGACGCUGAGGCGCGAAAGCGUGGGGAGCAAACAGGAUUAGAUACCCUGGUAGUCCACGCCGUAAACGAUGAGUGCUAAGUGUUAGGGGGUUUCCGCCCCUUAGUGCUGCAGCUAACGCAUUAAGCACUCCGCCUGGGGAGUACGGCCGCAAAGGCUG
rnacentral:rRNA from 1 species